rnacentral:rRNA from 1 species
CCUACGGGGGGCAGCAGUGGGGAAUCUUGCACAAUGGAGGAAACUCUGAUGCAGCGAUGCCGCGUGAGUGAAGAAGGCCUUUGGGUUGUAAAGCUCUUUUGUAGGGGAAGAUAAUGACUGUACCCUAAGAAUAAGGUCCGGCUAACUUCGUGCCAGCAGCCGCGGUAAUACGAAGGGACCUAGCGUAGUUCGGAAUUACUGGGCGUAAAGCGCGCGUAGGCCGUUGAGUUAGUUAAUUGUGAAAUCCCAAAGCUUAACUUUGGAACUGCAAUUAAAACUG